UUAAAGGAGGGAGCAAGGAGACAGUCCUAUCUGUUCCUGCUCAUUCAUUGCAAUCUCUCCGUGGCUUUCUGUUCUAGUGACAGUCCCAACAUACACAAACGUAUUUUGCAAGUGGGAUUUUGUGCAACACUGUAUCAAAUGUAUUACAAUUGCCAUUCUAGACAUAUUACAUCAGCUACAUUGCUUUCAUCUGUAAAUCUUGUAAUUCCAUCAAAAAAGCAAUCAAGUUGUCUAUGGAAUGAUUUGUUCUUCACAAACACCUGGUGAUUAUGGCUCUUGGUUCCAUUAUCCCAUGGACGCUUUCAGAUUUCCACCUCUCCUUCCUCCAUUAUUUACUGGGGAUUCAAGAUGUGCACAGAUAAUUCAAAUUUACCGUGUUUCACUGAUUAUUUUAUAAUGCCAUUAAAUAGGAAUAUAGUACUGUAUUUCACAAAUGAGGAAGUUAAAAACAAAGAAAUGCAUGAAUUGAAGUUGCAGUGAUCCAACCAUGAUUUUCCCUGGAACUGAAAACUUGGUUUUAACAGAGCCAACUUUGCCCAUCCUUUUCUUUGAGGUCUCCCAAGCCCUUCCGAUUCAGUGAAUUUGUAAAUGACCGCCACACCUUGUCUGCCCACAUCAAACCAAAGCCUUUAGAGUAGAGCUCUUCUCAAUGUAUUUGCUUAAAUUGUAGCCACAAUGUUUCAUACCUUCCCCCUUUUGUACAAUUUGGGAACAUUCAAAUAUUGUAAUUUACGCAAUCACCGAGGCAGAACGUGUCAGAGUGCACGGAAGACACGUAGCCCUCGGUCCAAACUGUGAAGGGGAUCGAGCUGCAGUGCUCAGAGGAUGGUUCCAUGUGGCCAGCUCUGCUGCCCUCGCCCAGGGGCGCAGCACUGUGAGGCGCGUCUUAGGGGAUGACGGUGAUGAACAAUCACACAUUUAUCAAAUACCUACCAUACGCCAGACACUGGAGAUACAAAGAUCGUCAAGACCUGAUCCUUUCCCCAAAGCUCACCUUUUAGAGAGCGAUGGACAUGCAAGCAGAUCAGUGCAGAGGUGGUGGAGGCCCUGCAAUGGAAAAUCCUGAAUUGUGGAGUGGGGCAUGCGAUUCUCCCCAGAGGCGUCACAGAGAAUUUGACACAUUGAGUUCUCGGGUUGUCUCUUUCUAGAAGGUGGCCUGGCAAGUUGAAGUCAUGGCAAAGAUUCUCCAAGUUCUAACCACGUACUUGAGGCAAUAAGGUGGUUCUGACUGUGAUCUCUUACCGAACAAAGCAAUGAUCUAGUUUAUUGGAUCCUUAGCAAGUAAGAAUGUGCAUUUCCGGGCUUGUGACGUCUACUGUGAAGAUCAUGGUCAGCACCGGGAGGCAGGGAAUGGAGACAAUGUCCUUCAGUUCAAAGUAGAAGAAAUCCUAGGUCUCUGGGGAUAGAAUGAAAACUCCUCCCACUUACUCCUGUUCUGUUCAGGAGAAAAUCCAUCAGCAGCAGUCGCUGGCAUUGACUCAAUAUCCGGAGUAAUAAGAGCAUAAAAGGUAACAAUAAAGGGAAACGAAUACUUUGGAGAAUUGUAUAAUCUAGGGAUUUCAGCAGCUAUGUUAAAUUAUUUACCAAAUGUUUUUGAGGGUCAGGGCUUGCAAAGAAUUUCGUGACAACAAUGUACUGGUAGCAAGUUUGUGUGGAGGGUGUUGUCCAAUAACGCGUAUGUGUGUUCAUAUGUGUACAUAUAUGUGCAUGCCUGUGUGUGUCAUUUAACUGUUUCAAAUAGAACAUGUGAUGUAUACAUGCCACCAUAAUUUACCUAAGACGCUUCACCUAAUCUCGUACGAUCAGGCUCUCUUUCACAUUACACACUCGUAUCUAAAAUCAUGCACGUUCUACAGUUGUUUACUUAUGCUAGCUCCAAAAUGGGUAAGGUUGAACUCUUUCCCUAAAGCACACUAUAAAUUUUCACAUGAUAGCAUUUUAAUAGAAUUUCAAGUAUUUGUAGGUCACUAGCAAGCUGUCCUAACUUUUAAAAGGCGAGUAAAUUGAACGUGUUAUUCAAAUCAUGAAUUCCUGAAGACUCACUGAGUUGGUUGUUCCUGGUCAUCAUCCUGGAGCAUGCUGUGCAUUUUAAUUUGCCUAAGGAAUGUGCCUGAAGGAAAUAUUUGGCCGUUAACACUAUAAAAACUUUAUCAGAUAACUGGGCACUGGCUUCAUAAAGGAGACGUAGCAAUCAUAAGAAAAGUCAAAAGUUCCAAUUAGAAUAUAUAAAUAACGUCUAUGGAAUGGGAGGCAAGUCAUGAGUUCUUCAGCCUUCCAGCCCUGAGGAGAACGUGUCCCUUGAUUUCCCUCUGCUUGCACACUGGACUCCCUGUCUGCGUUAGGGAGAUCCACUGAGGACCCCAAAUUGAUGCUCCUUCCUGCACCGGGGAAAGUUUAGGAGAGUGACUCUGCCAUGUGGAGGGUACACAAAGGCUACAGGGGAUGGCCUCCCCACAGUCCUGGAAUCCUGGCACACAGGAUGGCACAGGGAUUUGAGAAGCUGUCAGCAUGAAAAAAGGAUACCAUUUCUCAUCUUCCUCAAAUAGGAUCGUUAUAGCGUGCUAUCAUCACACUCUUUGAAAUGAAUUCUGAGGAAUUAAGACACAUUAUUCACAUGCGAGCACAAAAAUCUUUCCGAGACAAAUACUGGUGAGGAUGCGGAGAAAUUAGAACUCUCAGCCAUUGUUGGUGGGAAUGUAAAAUGGUGCAGCCACUUUGGAAAACACUUUGGCAGUUCCUCAAAAUGUUAAACAUGGUGUUAGCAUGUGAUCCAGCAAUGCUGCCCCUGGGUAUAUACCCAAGAGAAUUGAAAAUUUACGUCUAUGCAAAAACUCGUACGCAAAUGUUCUUAUCAGCAUUUUUCAUAAUAGCCAAAUUGGAAAUAACCCAAACGUUCAUCAACAGAUGGAUAGAUAAACAAAAUGUGGUAUAUUUGCACGAUAAAAUACUCGAUAUUUUAUGAAAAGAAUGAAGUUCUGAUACAUGCUACAACAUGGAUGAACCUUGAAAAUAUUAUGUUAAGUGAAAGAAGUAAUACCAACAGGCCACAUGUUGUGAUAUUUCAUUUCUACGAAACGUCCAGAAUAGGCAAACCCACAGACACAAAAAGUGGAUUAGCGGUUUCCAGUGGCUUGGGAGGGCACUGGAGGGAAAGGGGCACUGCCUGUGGGUGUGUUUCAUUUUGGGGUGAUGACAAUCACACAAUGGCAAUGGUUUCACAACUCUGUGUAUAUAUUUUAAAACCCACUGAAUUGUACACUUUAAAAGAGUGAAUUUUAUGAUUUUGAACUAUAUUUCAAUAAAGCUGUUAUAAAAAAAGUCUUCUUGAGCCGCUUUAGAUAGUCCAAGCCUGGAAACUCUGUAAAGGAUCAAGAUUUAAUAGUUAUUUUGAGAUGUGUUAUAGCCUGAAGAUGAAAUCAAAUGUCUUUUAAGAUAAACAAAGACAACAAAACAAUGAGAAGUUAUUUUUUCACAUGUGUUGGAAUUUCAUGUUUUCAAACAUCUGAAGGGAAUCAUCCAUAAAAUGAAUCACAAUGAUAAUAGAUAUGUUUUCGCAAUGCUUUCACAGAUGGUCUUAUUCAAACACAUUCCGGGUGAUGAUAAAUACAGAAGCUUAUGGAGUUACGCACUGUGAGACUCUGGAUUGGAGCUGAGACCAGCGAGCAAGUUCUCAGAGGGAGCAUUUUUACAUGUCUUUGUAUUUUCCAGGGCCUGGAGGAGGUGUUACUUGGAGGAAGAAUUAAACCGGUUCCCAUUUUAGAGUUGUCCCUUUCUGACGGGGCACCUUCAACCAGCAGUGAAAUAAAUAUCCUUAUAUUUCUGAGAUAAUACAAUUUUAAAGAAUAGCCUACUCCGGGAUGUGGUAGAUCCUUGACAAAUAUUUCAUGAAAGAAUGUAGGAAGUAAUAAAUACAUGAAUGGAUAAAUAUGGAGCACGUACUAGUGGAUAUAAGAGUGGGGCUCCCCACUGCACUUUUAAAGUUUGCUGCUUCUUUCGCCUCCAAUAUAAGCUUCGGAAUUUUGAAGCAUUUUUAAGAAAUGAAAUGAUCCUAAAAUAUUUGUGGUCUGGUUUAUGCGCAGAGUACGUCCCAAAGGGUUCUCUUGUUUCCUAACUACAUAGUCAGUGAUGCUAAGAACUUUAAAUAUAAUGACAUGACAAUGUGCUGUAGCCCUCCAAACCAAAAUGAGAACAAUGUUUCCUGAAAAGCAUCCUGGAAAGUGAUUAUUUUGGAGUGAAAUCUAGUUCUCAUUACAUCAUCUGAUUAUAAAAUACUUUUAUAGGAAUUAAAGGGAUAUUGAGACAACGACUUUUCAUCCAUCUUUAACUAUUGGUUUUCCCUCACAAGCCCAGGAAAACCAAUAUUCCCUAUGAAUAUAUGUGCUUUAAAAUGUCCCCAAUAGGAAAGCAAUUAGAAACAUAUACUGGUUGCAGGGGUGAAGGGCAAGGGGAAUAUUGUUUCUGGAUAUUAUCACAGUCUUUAUCGAGAUUCUGUGACACUUUGGGUCACUUGUCACUUCUGAAAACAUUUUUAAGCAAAAAUCAGCAGUCUUCUCUCAUGUUAUUGAAUCAGCCUAGAUUAUAGUUAUUGGAAUCUGAUGAUUUGUUAAUUUAAAGAACAUGAAAGUCAUCAUUAGACUUUCUUUAAGAUAACCAACAAUGACUCGAUCCACACCAGCCAUUAUCUCCAUCAACAUGUAUUUAUGAGGUCAGAGCUCAUAGCCCGGGAGGGCAGAAAUGGCAGUUCAAGUCAAUUGAUUUUUAAACAUUUUGAGAAUUCCUUACUGAUUUAUUUACAUGGACUUGCACAUUCUGAGAUCAGAUAAGAAGUAAGUACAUCAGAUUUCUCAUGGGUAAAUUGUUAACUUAAAGGAAAUGGUAUGAAAAUAUUACAAUAUUAGCCAAUAGCACACAUAGUGCUUUACAUGUAGAAAAAUAUUAUAGUCUGUCAACUCUCUUAAAUUCUUCUAGAAUUAACCCUUAUUCUCUUUUUGACCAAUAAUGCAGCACCUUUUUCCCAUCCUUUGACAGCUCAUCAUAACUCAUAACAAAAUGAGAUCUCCAUCACCUCCAUUCUCAGCCGUUUCUCCAACUAAUCCUGUUCGUGGACUCCCCUGUCUAGCCAAACUCUCUAAAUUAAUUCUUGGGCCUCUGACUUUACUGCCUCUAUUUCUUCUUCCUGGCAUUUUCUUCCAUCAAAAUCUUACUAAUCAUUCCUUAACUCCAAAUCUAUUUAUUCUGUAAGAUGGUCUCUGAAUAAUAGAUUACAAGUAUGUAACCCUGCUCUGAACGCUUAACAAUUAUUAUCUGUAUCAGACACGUGGCAUACACAUUUACAACUUUGUUUUGAAGCUAAAUGUGAGCAUGUCCAUGCCCAUGUAAGGUUCUGAAUUCCUGGAGUUCCCAGACCACCCUGAUUGAUUUUCACAGGGUCCUUCACCCACGGCAGCCUUGCAGUGAACGCCAGACGACGGCACGGGAGCAGGAGCAGAGAUGAAAACGGAGGCGGUUGCUGGUCUUGGAGGUGUCUGCGUGGUGAAUGAUUAGACCAGCACAGUGACACGCCUGCUCUUCCUCUGACCUGUGCCGUCGUUUUGGAAGUCGAGGUCCUCUGGUCACUAAGUAAUCAGAUGUAUGGAUACACUCCCUUGAGGUGCACUUGCGAAGGACUUUGAUCGUCACACACAAAGCAAAGACGAGGACAGAUCUGCUGCCAGCCUGCUCUUGUUUUUUGCAAAAGGACAGACUUCAUGUAACACUUUUUGGUUGCAAAAUGGCCAUCUAUUGCUCGAAAUAGUGUUUAAAAUUUCACUUUAGAAUGCUUACGAGUAACCCAGGAUGAAUAUAGUUAUCUUAAGGUGAAAAUAAAUUAGAUUUUGUAAA